UACGUAGGGUGCGAGCGUUAAUCGGAAUUACUGGGCGUAAAGCGUGCGCAGGCGGCUUCGCAAGUCAGACGUGAAAUCCCCGGGCUUAACCUGGGAAUGGCGUUUGAAACUACGGAGCUGGAGUGUGGCAGAGGGAGGUAGAAUUCCACGUGUAGCGGUGAAAUGCGUAGAUAUCGGGAAGAACACCCAUGGCGAAGGCAGCUCUCUGGGACGGUACUGACGCUGAGACGCGAAAGCGUGGGGAGCGAACAGG
rnacentral:rRNA from 1 species